AACGAACGCUGGCGGCAUGCCUAACACAUGCAAGUCGAACGAAGGCUUCGGCCUUAGUGGCGCACGGGUGCGUAACGCGUGGGAAUCUGCCCCUCGGUUCGGAAUAACAGUUAGAAAUGACUGCUAAUACCGGAUGAUGACUUCGGUCCAAAGAUUUAUCGCCGAGGGAUGAGCCCGCGUAGGAUUAGGUAGUUGGUGGGGUAAAGGCCUACCAAGCCGACGAUCCUUAGCUGGUCUGAGAGGAUGAUUAGCCACACUGGGACUGAGACACGGCCCAGACUCCUACGGGAGGCAGCAGUGGGGAAUAUUGGACAAUGGGCGAAAGCCUGAUCCAGCAAUGCCGCGUGAGUGAUGAAGGCCUUAGGGUUGUAAAGCUCUUUUACCAGGGAUGAUAAUGACAGUACCUGGAGAAUAUGCUCCGGCUAACUCCGUGCCAGCCGCCGCAGUAA
rnacentral:rRNA from 1 species